CAUGUUGGUCAGGCUGGUCUCGAACUCCUGACCUCAGGUGAUCCGCCUGCCUCGACCUCCCAAAGUGCUGGGAUUACAGGCGUGAGCCACUGCGCCCGGCCCAGGGACUGAUUUUUAAUGAGCAUUUUCUAUUGCUUGCCUCACAUGAUCCUUGAAUUGUAGACAAUCUAUUGAAAAUGAAAAGCAGAAACUUACUUUGCCUAUGUUAGUAUUGUCUAGGGCUGCAUCCACUUCAUCUAAAACAAAGAAUGGGGCAGGACGAAAACUAGAAAAAAAUUACAAUCAAGUAAGUUACAAUUUUCUAUCUGUUUUACAAAAGCCUUGGAAGAAAAGAUUAACAGUAUUCAGAAUAAAUAAAACACACUCUUUUGGAUAUUUCUAAGUAUUCGGUGACCUCUAUGUUACUAAAUCCAAUGCUCAGUUAUCAGUCCACAUGUAUGUGACCCAUGCAAGGAGUAUUUGGGGUUGGUCACUCCCUCCUCCUUGAAAUACUGCUCUGUGACUUGUAGGGGGACAUAGUCUACUUCCCCUCAGCCCCUGCAGAGUCUGCUGAGAACUCUUCAUCUCUGUGCUUAUCUAAUCAACUCCCUUGGUGAUUAAAUCUGGCCUCAGGGUUUUAAAUACCACCCAAAUACUGAUGGCUCCCACCCUUCUACCAAUAAUUCUAACCUGUCUCCUGAAUUCUCACCUCAAAUGUCCAACUACUUUCUCUACAAGUCCAUGUGGGUGUCUAAUACAUAUCUCAAACUCAUCUCAAAGCAAACUUCUCCCCCUGCCCUCCAAACCUAUUCCCUCCUGUGGUUUUCUCCAUCUCAGUUAAUGGCAGCUCUUAUUACUCUAGUUGAUUAGGUCAAAACCCACAGAGCCAUCCCCUUCACAUCUCUUCCUUCACACCCGUACCUGUCAGCAAAUUCCAUCUGCACAACCAUAUCCUCUCACCCUGGCCCAAUCACCAUCACUGUCUUUCACCUUCAUUGUGACCAGGCUCAGCCCUGUGCCUGCCACUGCUGCAUAGUCUAUUCUCCAUCCAUGCUAGGCUCACUCUGGCCUUGGAGCCUUUUGCACUUGCUGUUGCUGAUGUCUAAGAACAUUCUUCCCUUAGCUGUCCACAUGACCUGCUCCAUUUAUUCCUUCAAAUCUUUGCUCAAAUGUUACCUUCUGAAACAGACCUUCCCAGGUGACUCUUUAAUAUUGCUAACCACUUCCCUGCCACUCACCAUCUCCAUUCCCUGCUUUUUUUCUUUACAGAACUUGUCACUUUCUAAUAUUCUCUAUAUUGGAUAAUUAGUUUACUAAUUUAUCUUAUUUAUUAUCUGCCUUCCCCAACUAAAAUGAAGUAUCUUCGAGGCAGGCAUUUUGUUUUGUUCACAGCUGUCUCCCCAGUGCCUGCAGCAGCACCUGAUACACAGUAACUAAACUGAGACAAUUACCUCCUCUGAGCAACAGUUGAUAGAUCUGUAUCUUCAGUCUAAUUAUGAGAAAACCAUCAGACAAAUUCCAGUUGAAAGAUGUUCUACAAAAAAACUGACCAAUAUUCCUCAAAAUUGUCAAGCUCAUCAAAAACAAGAACUGUCACAGCUAAAAGGUGCCUAAGGAGACAUAUAACUAAAUGUAAUAUGGUAUUUUGGAUCAUUAAAAGGACAUUAGGCAAAAACUGAGAAAAUAUGUAUAAAGUAUGGACUUUAGUUAAUGUAUCAAUAUUAGUUUAUUAAUUGACAAUGUAUCAUAAUAAUGUAAGAUGUUAAUAACAGCAGAAACUGAGUGUUGGGAAUAUGGGACUGAUACAGGAGCAAAAAAUAAAUUAUUUAGGCAGAUAGUGAAGGUUAAGAGAGUUCUCAGCAGAGCUUCCCUUUUAACAAAAAGCAGCCCCCAAAUCAUUUCUUUUAUAACAAAGAGGAGCCUGAAAAGUCAAGCUACAAACAUAUAUAAGCAAGCUGGAAGCUUGUACGAGUGAAUGCCAGAAGCUGAGCCAACAGGAAAGGGCUACCCAGAAGCCAGCUAAGUUCAACAUGAAGGCUCCAUCUUCCCUUUUCUUUGUCACCAUGUGUACAGUAGAAAAGUUGGCAACAUGGUAUCAGCCAGGUACAGAAUCUGCAUAAUAAAAAAUUAGGGUGGGUGGCCAGCUUCUUUGUGUGCUAUGCAAAUGGCACACCUAGUCCUAACCAGUUCUUCACGUGCUCUGCAAAUGGCAUACCUGGUGUGAGCAAUCCUUCAUGCCCUAAAUCAGACACCACCUCCUCAAGCUCAUCUACAAAACCUCCUGUACUUCGCUGUGGACCAGAAGACCUGAUUGG